rnacentral:lncRNA from 1 species
GAUUUCAAGUCAUAGACUGGGUUGAAGAAGAUGUCUGUGCCAUAAUAACAAGGAAGGGUUUUGUUUUUCCCAAGAAGUGUUACAUUCCCAAUUACUGGAUUUAUCAAGAUUCAUCUACAGGGGACAAUGUUUGGAUGACCUUAGGAUGAUAAUAGACUUAUCCCACACGUCAGUAUUAAGUGUGGUCUGAAGUCGCUCCCAAUACCUGACUUAAGCAUGGCGGACACAGAGAAUCCACAACCCACCUGCUAAAGUUGUUGCCAGCACUAGAACCACCAAAGGGAAGACAAGACAUCGAUGGUGCAGCAGGAGGAGGACCCAGGCUUGGUAUUUGGCUGAACUCACCUCUGGUUGACCUCUGAGGCAGAAGGGGAAGCACCUUUUGCUUCCACUGAGAGAAACUGGAAAGUCACAUGACCGAAGGUGUAAGACUGCCAGGACUAGGAAGCAGUGAAGAGGGCACAAGAAGACAUCGGACACCCUGGAACUGGGGUUAACGAUGGUUGGGAGCUGCCAUGUAUGGCUGGGAAUUAAGCCUGGGUUCACGAUCAUCUGUAACUAUAAUUCCGGGGGUCUGCUGCUCUGUUCUGGCACCUUGGGCACUGUGUACAUGUGGUACAUUUACAUCCAUGCAGGCAAAACUCUUAUACACAUAGAAUAAAAACCAUCAAGAAACAUUGAG